rnacentral:rRNA from 1 species
GACGAACGCUGGCGGCGUGCCUAAUACAUGCAAGUUGAGCGCUGAAGGUUGGUACUUGUACCAACUGGAUGAGCAGCGAACGGGUGAGUAACGCGUGGGGAAUCUGCCUUUGAGCGGGGGACAACAUUUGGAAACGAAUGCUAAUACCGCAUAAAAACUUUAAACACAAGUUUUAAGUUUGAAAGAUGCAAUUGCAUCACUCAAAGAUGAUCCCGCGUUGUAUUAGCUAGUUGGUGAGGUAAAGGCUCACCAAGGCGAUGAUACAUAGCCGACCUGAGAGGGUGAUCGGCCACAUUGGGACUGAGACACGGCCCAAACUCCUACGGGGGGCAGCAGUAGGGAAUCUUCGGCAAUGGACGAAAGUCUGACCGAGCAACGCCGCGUGAGUGAAGAAGGUUUUCGGAUCGUAAAACUCUGUUGGUAGAGAAGAACGUUGGUGAGAGUGGAAAGCUCAUCAAGUGACGGUAACUACCCAGAGAGGGACGGCUAACUACGUG